rnacentral:rRNA from 1 species
GAGCACGUAGGUGGGUUUGUAAGUCAGAUGUGAAAGCCUUCUGUUCAACGGAAGAAUUGCAUCUGAAACUGCGAGUCUUGAGUGUAGGAGGGGAGAAUGGAACUUCUGGUGGAGCGGUGAAAUGCGUAGAUAUCAGAAGGAACUCCGGCGGCGAAAGCGAUUCUCUGGCCUAUUACUGACACUCAGUGUGCGAAAGCUAGGGGAGCAAACGGGAUUAGAUAUCCCGGUAGUCCUAGCCGUAAACGAUGGGCACUAAGUAGAGGGGUUUU